UAUUCCUUUUGCCCUGUCUAGUCUCUGUUCCAGGUCAGCCUUUCCAGGCAACAAUGGAAUGGGACACAGAUUGAGUUUUAAGACUGAGAGAAAGUCAAUUCUGGUAUGAACCAGCCCUUUUGGAUCACUUCAGAAAGCACAGCUGAUGAUGGUCCAAUGAAAUCAGUGUUGAAUUAGGUGAGGGGGUAAUUCAAUAUUCUUUUUGCAGCAUUUCCCCUCUGCAAGACUUAAUCCUCUGUUGCUAUCUGAUUUCUCAGUCACUCUGCCGCUGCCAAACGGGUUUAACGUGUGAAACUCGAGCCCUUGGCAGCCAGGACACUGCAGGGUCCCACUCCCACCUCCCAGUGCAGAACAAAGAACAGCACAGAACCUCCGCAGGUUCUGCAGCCCCACUCCCUCGGAUCAUCCUGAGCACUGGAGGAUCUCUCUCAUCCAUGGAGCUUCCAUGCCAGUGCCUCUGGAAACUGGGAACAGCUUUCCCAGCGCCUUCACAGACAGGAGUGAGCACACAGGGCACAGAGAAGAGCUGAGCUGGCAGCUGUGAAUAAGGACUACCCAGUGCUCUGCCUUAGUGGCCUCCAUCAAGCCAAACAUCAGAAGGAACACUCUGCAGAUGCACAUUGAAGAUUGUCUGUGAAGAACUGCAAAGGGUUUGGUAUGUGUGGUUAUCAGCAGAGUAGAGCACAGAUGACACUGACUUCCACAGCUCCAUUUGCUGGACAAGACCUUGGCUUUGGGCUCCUUUCACCUCCUUAUUCCUCAAGCUAUAAAUGAUGGGAUUCAAUAAAGGAGUCACCAGAGAAUAGGAAAGGGAGA